UGUAGCUCAGUGGUAGAGCACUUGCCUGACAUGUACAAGGCCCUGGGUUUGACUCCCAACA
rnacentral:tRNA from 1 species